UACGUAGGGUGCGAGCGUUAAUCGGAAUUACUGGGCGUAAAGCGUGCGCAGGCGGGCUUUUAAGCCAGACGUGAAAUCCCCGGGCUUAACCUGGGAAUGGCGUUUGGGACUGGAAGUCUGGAGUGCGGCAGAGGAGACUGGAAUUCCUGGUGUAGCAGUGAAAUGCGUAGAUAUCAGGAGGAAUACCGAUGGCGAAGGCAGGUCUCUGGGCUGACACUGACGCUCAUGCACGAAAGCGUGGGGAGCAAACAGG
rnacentral:rRNA from 1 species